UCCCUGAUGGUCUAGUGGUUAGGAUUCUGCACUUUCACUGCCGUGGCCUGGGUUCGAUUCUCGGUCAGGGUA
rnacentral:tRNA from 1 species